ACCAAUAGCUGCCGCUACCUCAGUCAAGCACUGGAUACAACAGCGUGGGCUUCAAAGAGCCAGUCCACCCAGAGAAGAGAGGGAACCUCACUCCGGCUGUGAUGCGUAGCGGAGCUCUGCUGGCUGAACAACACUUCUAUGGGAUAAAACCUCCCGGUCACAUUUAACCGCUUAUUGUGUGUGUGUGUGUGUGUGGCGCGAGGACGGAGACAUGCUCUUGUAGCGCGAGCGCGAACGACAUUAUCGCCCGCGUUUUUGCUUCACAAAAAUAUUUGGAGCUAACUUGGAGCCGUUUGGACGUUGAGCAAGUUUUGUUUUUUUAUUAACUUGAAUUACAUUUGAGUCGUUUACUUGGAGCCCAAAGCCCAGGAAGAGAUGGAGAGCGAAAAGUACUUGCCGGAGCUUAUGGCAGAGAAGGACACGCUGGAUCCGUCUUUUCAGCACUCCCUGCGGCUACUGGAUCAAGAGAUUGAAAAAAUUCAGAAAGACGAGGGGAAGGAAGAGGAGAAGUUCAUCGAUGUCGUCAUCAACAAGAACAUGAAACUGGGCCAGAAAGUUUUAAUACCAGUCAAGCAGUUUCCUAAAAUUCUGAUUGAUCCGCGCUCUCGCUCUCUGUUGCAGUUUAACUUUGUCGGCAAACUCCUCGGGCCACGCGGGAACUCGUUAAAGAGACUACAGGAGGACACUCUCACAAAGAUGUCAAUUCUCGGAAAAGGAUCCAUGAGAGACAAAGAAAAGGAAGAAGAGCUACGGCAGAGCGGCGAGGCCAAAUAUCACCACCUGAACGAAGACCUGCACGUCCUUAUCGAGGUGUUCGCCCCGCCGGCUGAGGCCUACGCCAGGAUGGGUCACGCUCUGGAGGAGAUCAAGAAGUUUCUCAUACCAGAUUACAAUGAUGAGAUCAGACAGGCCCAGCUGCAGGAGCUCACAUACCUGAACGGCGGCUCAGAGGAUGCCAAGGUGCCAGCGGUGAGGGGCAAGUCAGCCGCCCGUGGAAGAGGGACACCUGUUCCAGGGCCUCCCAGGAGUCGAGGAGGAGUUCCUCCCCUGCACGCAGCGGUGCCCCGAGGCGCAGCACCCAGAGGGGCCCUGCCCAGCCGGGCUCCAUCUUCCAGAGGGAGGGGGGUUCAGAGAGCCAGAGGCGCCCCCCCAACCGCCGGAUACCGGCCGGCUCCUCCCAUAGUUCAGGACACAUAUGGCGAAUAUGAAUAUGAUGACGGCUACGGAACAGCUUACGAUGACCAAGGAUAUGAAUCGUAUGACAACAACUACAGUAAUCAAGGACAAAACUCAGAUGACUACUAUGAAUACGGACACAGUGGGGAAACAUAUGAUUCGUAUGGUCUGGAAGAGUGGGCAAGCAAGGCACCAUCAGCACGAACAACCAAGGGAGUGUACCGAGAUCAGCCAUACUCCAGAUAUUGAACUGUUUAUACAACUCGCACCUGAGGCUAUCACAAGUCGAUGUCCCAGCUAUACCAGGACAUCCAUCCAAUUAUCUCAUUGGUGCUAAAGACUUGACAAACCACACACGAGCUUCCCUCCAAACAUUCAAGCCCACGCAAUGUCAAACCAAAUCCUGAAAAGGCCGUCCAUCUUCACAAAGGAUCUGUCCUUGGCCAAACGGUGGACUUUUAAGUUUUCAUAGUCUGGACUGAGAUGAAUCCUGUGGGGGACGAGACUGAGAGUGACCUGUUGAGAUGCAGAAAAGGAGGAAAAAGAUAAUGCAUGUAUCACACAUCGUCAUUCUCCGGAGAAAGGGAGGGAAAGAGGAAACCCGUGAGGCAAAUGGAGUUCCCUGUCCUCUGGGACAAUCUGUCGGAGAAUAUUUCCUUCAGAGCUUCUGUAUACAUUUUACAUACACACAGUAGUGUACUCUGAACUGACUGUGAACCUGCCCUGUGUCUUUCUUGCUUCAGACUGUUGUUGUACUGUACUACUUACAUUAGGAUGAAUGACUGAAUAAUGCAAUAUGCCAAGGGAAUCAUAUUUCUAGCAAAGACACUUUUAAUCUCAUAUUGUUGCGCUCAUUAACCUACAUCCAAUCCACUCCAAUGAAUAACUAAUUCAACAAGUGCCUUAUUGUUGCAUCGUUAUGGCAGUUUUAGAUGUUUAGUCCCAUUGCCAGAGUUAAAAUAUGGGGCAGUACACUAGAAAAGGUAGCUGUUUUGUUUUCUUGUAUGCUGUUUUUUGGUUUGCUGUAUGCAUUACCACAAUGCUGGAAAACACCACCCAGCCACACACAAGAGUACAGUCUAUUCCAGAUGUAUUGCUUAAUCAGAAUCGACUUCAGUGGAUAUUACAAUUCCAAAAUAGCUUUCUAUCGGAUAGAGAGCUUCAUUCUGUCUUGUGCAUAAGUCCAGAUAGGCUGAUCCGUAUUCCACACAGUUGUAUGUCCUCAGUGGCAGACAAUAGUUUUCCAUUAGAGGAAGUGAUUCUCUCUGGAGCCUCGGGCCAAGCCUCACACAAUAACACAGCGACCUAAAGCUUGCAUCUCGGACUCCCCGAGUCAACUCUCAUCACCUUUAGGGGCUGAUUCCCCCUCUGAGGUGGCUUAAAAAGACAGGCUUAUCUGAAGUAAGCUUGUCCAAGUUAAUAAGUAGGAGCAGCUUAUUUGAUUAAGAAUGCAUACAAAGGAGGAUGUAGUGAUCUGUCACUGGGAGACAAGUCCAUUUCAACAGUAGAAUACAGAUCGAUGGGUCCCGAACAUUGGGUACAGGGACCAGGGACCACAGAGGAUCUGGAGCAAAAUUAGAAAUAGCUUAAAAGCCUCUUCUUUCUUCUCAAACAGCUUCUUACUACGAAUGAUGUGGCCCUAUAUGAACACACAAUGUUCCACCACAGUUUUGUAAUGUAUGAGAGAUUUCUAUGUUUGUCUGUUUGUCCUUUCCUUUCUCACUGAUUUUAAAUGGGCAGGGAUCAGUUGGAAAAACCUGAUCUGAUGUUGUUUGCUCACGUUGCCAGCACUGUCAAUCAAAUCUGAUCAGACCACACCUACACAGUCCUGAAAAAGCAGAUUAGCGUUCCAUCCAUACAAAAACCAAAGUGUAAAAUGAAAAUUUCUUGGACCAUUAUCUUCCUGGAUUGUCCACUAGUUGCCUGGGAAAUGGUUAAAUUGUUGUUUUUACACUUCAGCUUUUGUACUUAUUAAACAAACAAAAUAUGAAGUGUUAGUGAACCUUAGAGGGGCUGGUAGGCGGAUUUGGUUAACUUUAGACGGAAGCGAGGCUAGCUGUUUCCAGUCUUUAUGCUAAGCUAAGAAAACCGGCUGUUGGGACCAGCUACAGGGAUAGCAGUGGCGUGUAUUGUUGUCUGCCAGAGUGUCUUUUUUUAUCUGCCACUUGGGAGCACCACAGUCAGAAAUUUUUAAUUUCCAUACAUGGCUUUUCAUUUCAUUCCCUUAAAAGCAAAUACAGGAAACAUAGUCGACUACUACUAGCAACAUUCAAUAUUAAAUGACCUACGUAUAACUGAGUAAUGGUCAAUUAUAUCGGUCCUUUCUUUGGCUUAGAACUUUUUUUUUUUAAAAAGCGAUGGCUUUUAGAAGUGUGCUUAUCCACUUGUAUUCCUUUUAAUCAUGUUCAGGAUCUAAAGUGGUCGCGUCCUGCCUUUUGUUCUGUAAUUAACUGGAAGGCUCUUAAUCUUACUGAGAUUAAAACAACCUGAUCAAUGUUGAAGUGUCCCUCUGUCUCCUUUGGAAGUGAGUGCUAAUGUGACCACGGGUCAGUGUGUGUCGCCUGCUAAGUGGAAACUCAGAUUGUGAAGGAUCGAUCAUUACAGGGCUUUGAGUGAACAGGAGUGAAUAAUAGCAAUAAUACAGAGACUGUACUGCCAUUAUCUUGACCAAUGGAAAUCUUUUCAACCACAAUAUACCCAACAAACUUUUCUUUAUCCGGGAAAUAUAAAUAUUUUCAUGCUCUUACUUUUGUUAGCUUUUAUUUUUAGUCACUUUUAGGGUAAAAAAAAGAAAGAACAGAUUUAAAAAUAUCAGGCUUUUAAAACAAGAAAAAUAAGUCACAGGUAAAGACAAAAGACUGAGAAAAAAAGAGAAGGGAAAACAAAACAAUGAAAGAAAAUCUUACCUUCCAUUAAAGGUACAAAUGCUUUGUGGGGAGAAGCAGAUAUCAAACAGGAACAAGACUGAAAAACAAAACUUUUUUAAGACGUGUGUGUGCAAAGUCAGCAUGUACUUGUCAACCAUAUGCUGUAUAUAAAUUGUGCAUUGUGCAUAUUGUACAUCAUGUUCCUGUAUAAUUUCCAUGUGCUGUUAUGCUUUAAACUCAGAGUCAAUACAUAAAUACAUGUUUAGUCUGUAGAAAUCCUUAUCAAAAAUAAAGUUUUCCUCUUGUUAAUAAAAAA